UACGUAGGGUGCAAGCGUUGUCCGGAAUUAUUGGGCGUAAAGAGCUCGUAGGCGGUCUGUCGCGUCUGCUGUGAAAACUCGGGGCUCAACCCCGAGCCUGCAGUCGAUACGGGCAGACUAGAGUGCGGUAGGGGAGACUGGAAUUCCUGGUGUAGCGGUGAAAUGCGCAGAUAUCAGGAGGAAAACCGGUGGCGAAGGCGGGUCUCUGGGCCGUAACUGACGCUGAGGAGCGAAAGCGUGGGGAGCAAACAGG
rnacentral:rRNA from 1 species